CCCUUGCAAAAAUAAGCUGUUUUUCAAAAACUACUAGAUAUACCCAAGAUUUCCUAGAAACUGCUUACCCACCCAAAGCCACCCAAAACCCCCAAGACUCAGUCAGGUGGCUGAACCCUGAGUAACCCCUCCACCCCACCCGUGUGAAACCGCCCUAUAAUAAGCCCGCAAGCUUGAGCUUCAGGGUCUGCAGUCCUCAGCUUGACUGUUGACCCGUGUGCACACGUACAAUAAACUGCUUCUGAGUGACUCGAUAUCAGAGUGAAGCUUCUGUUACCAGCGCCGACUCUAACAUUUUGGAGGUUCCAGAGAUAUUCUUCACGUCUGGUGGCUCCCAUGGACAUCCGGACCAGCAAGCCUACAUCUGGGUCUGGGAGAACUUGGUGCUGGACCCACCUAAGUGGGUCCGGUCGUUUCAGGUCGGCCCGUCUGCACCACCAACUGACCAACCCCCCCUUCUUCUAACCAAAACCUCUGACUCGCCUAAAUCUUCCCCUUGGACGGCCGGCCAACCUAGCUCCCCAAUCUCAUUGAUGAGCGCUUCCCCCUGAGACGUCCGACCUGGGACCCGAACACUCCAGAAGACUACAAGCCUUGGCGGUCGUCCAGCACACCCUGUGGAGACAGUUGUCUGCCGCGUACCAGCCCAGUGGAGAUGGCCCUGCCCACCGGUUCCAUGUAGGGGACUUCGUGUAUGUCCGCCGGCACCAGCAUCAGACCUUGGAACCUCGGUGGAAGGGUCCCUAUCAAGUCCUGUUGACCACCCCGACGGCAGUUAAGGUGGCCAGAGUCGCUGCGCGGAUCCAUGGCUCCCAUCUCAAGCCUGCUCCUGCUCUGGACGUGGAUUUGGACUGGACUGUGGAGCGGACUGACAAUCCUCUCAAGUUUCGGAUCCGACGUAAAGACCGGCCGGACUAAACCACACCAACCUGUGAGCCAAACGUGGCAAGUACUGUCGGGGGAAGGGGAUGUGGUCUGGGAAAAAACUGGUAGGCACCCCCUUUGGACUUGGUGGCCUGCCCUAGAACCUGACCUUUGCCACAUGUUGGCCGGAGCAAAAGACUUUGACAUCCCCACCACUGACCCGGCCAACCCAGGUGAGCCAGAAGUGUGCACCCAAAGUGGACGCUGCCCCUGUUCACGUUACCCGGCAGGGUGCCAGGACCCAAGGGCCCGAGCAGCCCUGAGAAAGAGACCGUUCUAUGUAUGCCCUAGGGACGGGAGGAGCAGGGCACAGGCACACACUUGUGGGCAACAUGAAAGUUAUUAUUGUAAAUCAUGGGGAUGUGAAGCUACGGGGAUGCUUGGUGGAAGCCGAGCUCAUCCUGGGAUCUAAUACAAGUAAAGAGGGAGGCAGGUGGGGAUGAACCCCCACUCUCUGAAGAUUACUGCCGGAGCAAACCUAGGACAGUCACAACCCUAUGGUACGGGUCGGGACCGUGCACAGCGUUUGCCUGCAACCCCUUGAACAUCACCUUCACCCAGACAGGAAAGGCAUCAAGGGACUGGAUAAAGGGUAGACAAUGGGGCCUGAGGGUAUAUCACCAGACGGCCUAUGAUCCAGGAGUCCUGUUCAAAAUCAGGUUAGUGAUAAAUGCCGACCCUCAACCGAUAGGCCCUAAUAAAGUAUUGCAGGACCAGAAGGCUCUUCCUCCCAAGAAAAACAAACGGGCGUCCCCAAGAGGGAUCCCCCCCCUAACUCAACCCACCAGAACCCCUCCACUCCCCCACUGACCACUCUGGCUGUCGCAAAUCCCACCCUACCAGAGUCAGGAGAACGAUUGAUAGACCUAGUUGAGGGGGGAUAUCAAGCCCUCAACUCUACUCAGCCCAACCUCACUGAAUCCUGCUGGAUUGGCCUCCAAGCAAGCCCCCCAUACUAUGAAGGGAUAGCUGUUAAUGGGAGUUUCACCUAUAACACCUCCAACAGCUGCAACUGGGGAACAAGGCACAUGCUAACUUUGCCUGAGGUGACUGGUUCGGGAACAUGCCUAGGACACUCCCCUGGGCUAGAAAGCCAGCUCUGUGCACGCAAAGUGACAGUGUCCUCAUCUGACACAUCCCAGUACAUAGUCCCCUCAUCAGGUCUAUACUGGGCAUGCAAUACUGGGAUCACACCGUGUGUCUCAGUUGCUAGUUUUAACAUCUCUAAGGAUUUCUGUGUAUUAGUUCAGAUUUACCCAAGGUUAGUUUAUUAUUCAACAGAAGAAUUUGAGGGACACUUUCUGGGCAGAACUCGGUUCACGCGAGAGCCUGUCAGUAUCACCCUGGCAGUCCUAUUAGGGGCUGGUAUAUUGGCGGGGGUUGGGUCUGAAACUGCAGCUUUGGUGGAAGGUCCUAGACAGCUAGGGAUCUUAGAAGCCGCAAUACAACAAGAUCUGAGGGCAAUAGAAACAUCUAAAACUGCUUUGGAAAAGUCCUUAACCUCCCUGUCAGAGGUGGCCUUGCAAAAUAGGCGCGAUCUGGACUUACUGUUUUUGAGGGAAGGAGGACUUUGCGCUGCCCUGAAGGAAAACUAUUGCUUCUAUACUGACCACACGGGGGUGGUAAGGGAGUCCAUGACAAAACUCAGGGAAAGACUAGAUGCAAGGGAAAAGGCCCUACGAGGCUCCCAGAGCUGGUUUGAGGAAUGGUAUGAAAAAUCACCCUGGAUGACCACCCUGCUCUCAGCCCUCACAGGGUCCCUAAUUGUCCUGCUCCUAGUACUAAUGAUUGGACCAUGCGUCCUGAAUCGGAUUUCAGGCUUCGUUCGGUCCCAGGUAGACGGGGUUAAAAUGAUGGUCCUGAGACAAAGAUAUCAGCCUAUACCAGAAACCGACCUUUAGGAUUAAAGGUCAGUACAAGAAGAGGAGGGAAUGAAGAGUUAAUAGGGAACUAUAUUCUUACUUAAAAAAUGUUUCUGCUUAAGCUAAAACUACAGCUCUUGCAAAAGCUUCCAUGGUGCGAAGCUUGCCCACAGCCCUUGCAAAAAUAAGCUGUUUUUCAAAAGCCACUAGAUGUACCCAAGAUUUCCCAGAAACUGCUUACCCACCCAAAGCCACCCAAAACCCCCAAGACUCAGCCAGGUGGCUGAACCCUGAGUAACUCCUCCACCCCACCCGUGUGAAACUGCCCUAUAAUAAGCCUGCAAGCUUGAGCUUCAGGGUCUUCAGUCCUCAGCUUGACUGUUGACCCGUGUGCACACGUACAAUAAACUGCUUGAGUGACUCGA